GGGGGAUCACCCAAAAGCUAGGCUUCAGUCGAUGCCUAUCAUUGGAGAACCCUUUUCCCGCAUAGCCGUUGACAUUGUGGGUCCACUGGCCAGGGCUAGUCCAUCCGGUAAGAAGUAUAUUCUCACCGUGGUGGACUAUGCCACACGUUAUCCACUGGCCAGGGCUAGUCCAUCAGGUAAGAAGUAUAUUCUCACCGUGGUGGACUAUGCCACACGUUAUCCAGAGGCAGUAGCGCUGUCUAAUAUAGAGGCAGAGACGGUUGCUGAUGCCCUGGUUAAAAUCUUCACUAGGGUCGGGUUCCCUCAGGAGAUUCUCUCCGAUCAGGGAACCAAGUUCACCGCUGUGCUUACCCAGCAGCUGUGGAAGGUGUGCGGUAUUAAACCCCUGCUUAGCUCACCUUAUCACCCACAGACUAACGGUCUCUGCGAGCGAUUUAAUGGCACCCUCAAACAGAUGUUGAGGACCUUUACUGACACUUGCAGAGAUUGGGAGCGAUUCCUGC